ACGAACGCUGGCGGCAUGCCUAACACAUGCAAGUCGAACGAGACCUUCGGGUCUAGUGGCGCACGGGUGCGUAACGCGUGGGAACCUGCCCUUAGGUUCGGAAUAACUCCCCGAAAGGGGUGCUAAUACCGGAUAAUGUCUUCGGACCAAAGAUUUAUCGCCUUUGGAUGGGCCCGCGUUGGAUUAGCUAGUUGGUAGGGUAAAAGCCUACCAAGGCGACGAUCCAUAGCUGGUCUGAGAGGAUGAUCAGCCACACUGGGACUGAGACACGGCCCAGACUCCUACGGGAGGCAGCAGUGGGGAAUAUUGGACAAUGGGCGAAAGCCUGAUCCAGCAAUGCCGCGUGAGUGAUGAAGGCCUUAGGGUUGUAAACCUCUUUUACCCGGGAUGAUAAUGACAGUACCGGGAGAAUAAGCUCCGGCUAACUCCGUG
rnacentral:rRNA from 1 species